UUUCUACUGUGGAAGAAUUAUGACUUCUUCAAGAAAAAUAUGUUAAUGGCUUAAUCAUGAUUGUCUACUUUUGAGAGACAGGACUCGCUGGAUUUCCUAGGCCGACUAGGAAUUCCUAAGCCUAGCUGGGGAAGGUGACCACACCUACCCUUAAACACGAGGCUUGUAACUCAGCUCACACCCGACCAAUCAGGUAGCAAAGAGGGCUCACUAAAAUACAAACUAGGCUAAAAGCAGGAAGUAGAGAAAUAGUCAAAUCACAUAUCGCCUGAGAGUACAGGGGUAGGGACAAUGAUUGGGAUAUAAACCCAGGCAUUUGAGCAGGAAGUGGGCAACCCCCUUUGCAUCCCCUCCCAUUGUAUGGGAGCUGUUUUCAUUCUAUUAAAUCUUGCAACUGCACACUCUUCUGGUCUGUGUUUGUUACAGCUCGAGCUGAGCUUUCGCUCACUGUCCACCACUGCUGUUCACUGCUGUCCCAGACCCACCAUUGACUUCCACCCACUGGAUCCAGCAGGGUGUCCGCUGUGCUUCUGAUCCAGAGAGGUGUCCAUUGCCGCUCCCAAUCGGGCUAGAGGCUCACCAUUGUUCCUGCAUGGCUAAGGGCCCAGGGUUCAUCCUAAUCGAGCUGAACACUAGUCACUGGGUUCCACAGUUCUCUUCCGUGACCCAUGACUUCUACUAGAGCUAUAACACUGACCACAUGGCCCAAGGUUCCAUUCUUUGGAAUCCGUGAGGCCAAGAACCCCAGGUCAGAGAACAAAAGGCUUGCUGCCAUCUUGGGAGUGGCCACCACCAUCUUGGGAGCUCUAAGAACAAAGGCCUGCCUGUAACACUUCUACCACAGAAUUGAGAAAAUAAAUUCAUUUGUAAUUUUUGUUUCUCUCACCUUCAAUGUCACUGGCAAACAUACUGCCUACCAGCUACUCCUCAGCCUUACACCUUAAGCAUACGUCCUGAUCUUACUCUUCGAGUUGAGGGUUUACCAUCUUGGCAUUGGGUAGCCGUGUUUCCCUGAGGCUACAGAUUAAGAGGGGUCACCAACUCAUUCCAUCUGCUCUCAUCUCGGCAGAGCAGGCCUACAGGUCAAUCCCAUUCCACUUGUGCAUUUCAUUCUGAUCUGUAACAGUAACAAGGCCUGGAUGAAAAGAUCACUGAAAAAACAAACUAGAAAUAUUCUAAAAUAGUUGUCAUUUUCCUUCCAUAGACUAUCAGGGAGUUUGUAUCUUUGAGACAGAACCCACACAGACUCAGUUUCUCUAUGCAGUCCUUGUUUCCUGCCAUUUAAUUUUAGAUGAAAAUGAGACAUAUGAGUA
rnacentral:lncRNA from 1 species